rnacentral:lncRNA from 1 species
AUGCUCAUGUGGAGUCUAACAGAAUUAGAUUUUAUAUUUUAUGAUUUUUAUGUAAUUUACUAUGAUUUUUCAAAUAUUUAGCCAAAAUAAAUAAAAAAAGAAAAAGACAAAACCUUUAUAGCAAAAACUUAGUACUAAAUCAUACCAUAUUAUAUGUUCAUUGUGUAGAUCUACUUAUGUGGAGUCCAACAGAAUUGGAUUUUAUAUUUUAUAUUUUUUCUAUGAUUUACUAUGAUUUUUCAAAAAUUCAGCCGAAAUACUUAAAAAAUAAAAAGAUAAAACCACCAUUACUGUAGCAAAACCGUCUUUGAAAUCGCU